rnacentral:rRNA from 1 species
CGGCGGACGGGUGAGUAACGCGUGGGUAACCUGCCUCAUACAGGGGGAUAACAGUUAGAAAUGACUGCUAAUACCGCAUAAGACCACAGUACCGCAUGGUACAGGGGUAAAAACUCCGGUGGUAUAAGAUGGACCCGCGUUGGAUUAGCUGGUUGGUGGGGUAACGGCCCACCAAGGCGACGAUCCAUAGCUGGCCUGAGAGGGUGAACGGCCACAUUGGGACUGAGACACGGCCCAG